CCCCUUGCCUUUUUAAGUACCAUUCGUUUCCUCGGCGGGCCCGCCCGCCGAUGGACACCCAAAACCCCUUUGCAGUUGCAGUAAACGUCUAAACUAUUAAAUAAUCAAAACUUUCAACAACGGAUCUCUUGGUUCUGGCAUCGAUGAAGAACGCAGCGAAAUGCGAUAAGUAGUGUGAAUUGCAGAAUUCAGUGAAUCAUCGAAUCUUUGAACGCACAUUGCGCCCUUUGGCAUUCCUUAGGGCAUGCCUGUUCGAGCGUCAUCUAACCCCUCAAGCUCUGCUUGAUGUUGGGCGUCUGUCCCGCCUUAGGCGUGGACUCGCCUCAAAAUCAUUGGCGGCCUAUGUAUUGGCUUCGAGCGCAGCAGAUUUCGCGCCUCGUUCCCUCUUGUACAGGCGACCAUAAAGCUUCUUCAACUAUUUUGACCUCGGAUCAGGUAGGGAUACCCGCUGAACUUAAGCAUAUCAAUA
rnacentral:rRNA from 1 species